rnacentral:rRNA from 1 species
GCCCUUUAAAGCUUCACUUAAAGAUGGACCCCGCGUCUGAUUAGCUAGUUGGUGGGGGUAACAGCCUACCAAGGCGACGAUCAGUAGCCGGUCUGAGAGGAUGAACGGCCACAUUGGAACUGAGACACGGUCCAGACUCCUACGGGAGGCAGCAGUGGGGAAUCUUCCGCAAUGGGCGCAAGCCUGACGGAGCAACGCCGCGUGAGUGAAGAAGGGUUUCGACUCGUAAAGCUCUGUUGUCGGGGACGAAUGUCAGGACUCAGAAUAUGGGUUCUGAAUGACGGUACCUGACGAGGAAGCCACGGCUAACUACGUGCCAGCAGCCGCGGUAAUACGUAGGUGGCGAGCGUUGUCCGGAAUUAUUGGGCGUAAAGGGAGCGCAGGCGGGAAGGUAAGUCUAUCUUAAAAGUGCGGGGCUCAACCCCGUGAGGGGAUGGAAACUAUCUUUCUUGAGUGCAGGAGAGGAAAGCGGAAUUCCUAGUGUAGCGGUGAAAUGCGUAGAUAUUAGGAGGAACACCAGUGGCGAAGGCGGCUUUCUGGACUGUAACUGACGCUGAGGCUCGAAAGCGUGGGGAGCGAACAGGAUUAGAUACCCUGGUAGUCCACGCCGUAAACGAUGAAUGCUAGGUGUAGGAGGUAUCGACCCCUCCUUGCCGGAGUAACGCAAUAAG